AAAAUGAAUACAUUUGUACCGUAGACAGUAGGAGCCUUCAACGGCUUAAUCCCCUACCGAGGUAAUUGCGAUAAAAUACAUGCUUCCGGCGUGUUUGCAAUGCCCUUGUGUCUACCCGAUGCAAGGGCAUCUUUUAUUGGAUGA
rnacentral:sRNA from 1 species